AUUCUCAUUUCGUUUAUGUGUAUUUCAUGUCUUCACUCUUUUUAUGUGUUUAGUCUUUUUAGUCUUUUUUGUCUUUUUACAUCUUUAUUUUGUGUUUGUUAAAAUAAGGAUGUUUUGGUAUUUUGUAACUGUGUCAGAGGAUCGGCUGCUUUACUUUUUUCUUUCUCUUUUUACUUUUCCACUUUUCUCGAUUCUUUUUCUCUUCGUCUCUCUCUUCUCUCUUAUCUCUUUGUCUCCACUUCCCAUCUUGCUGAACCUCUCUCUCUCCACAUUUUUGAAUUUAUGUAUUAUUUUGUUUAUGGAUUUGAUGAUCUGUGAUUUUUGUUUGUAUAAGAAGGAAAAUAUUACUCCGAUUGGCUUGAAGAUCGUGGUAAUUUCAACUCCAUGUCUUUUUACUUUUCAACUCCUCACCCAUUGCGACAAGUAGAUCAUCGGCAACUACGUUCCUGGUGAAGGAAUAUUAUUAUUUUGUCCUCUACCUAACGGUGAUUUCGAGAGCCCCCAGCAAACGGGUUCUCGAGCGUGGCUGUGGGAGAGAGCCACCACGAUCCCGAGCUGGAAAUCAAAGGGCACGGUGGAGCUCGUAGAAGCGGGGGAAAAACAGGGCGGGAUGAUACUCAUCAUACCAGAAGGUAGACAUGCGGGGCGGCUCGGUAACGACGCCGAGAUCAGCCAGGGGCUAAGCGUGGAGAAAGGGUCCAUUUACUAGGUCACCUUCAGCGCCGCCCGCACCUGGGCACAGUUGGAGUCGCUGAACGUGUCGGUGCAUCCGACAUCGCAGACGAUAGACUUGCAAACACUGUACAACGUGCAGGGUUGGGGCCCGUACGCCUACGCAUUCAAGGCAGAUGAGGAAGAGGUGAGUUUGGUUUUUAGGAAUCUGGGCAUGGAGGAUGACCCCACUUGUGGGCCCAUCAUUGACGAUAUUGCCAUAAAAAAGCUCUUCACUCUCGAUAGACCAAAAGGUAUCCCUUUCUUUGCCUCUCUGUCAUCUUUGGCAGGACAAAAGUCAAAUCCAAACCUAAAAGCUAAAGCUGGACGGUGGUUGGAAUAACUUUCACAUCGUCCAAUGCUGUGGGUCUCAUUCGUGAUUUUUUUUUUUAAUCUGUAUCAUAAAAUUAAUGAAGUUUGAUGCUAUUGAGUUGGUUGUUUUAGUCCAGCUCUAUUGUUAUUUUAUAAAGUUUGUGUUUCUCUUGAAAAGUCGAAACGAAAAAUUAAAUAAUAAUUUCAUAUAUAUAAGAAAUAAUAAUACAUUUUCACCCUAAAAACAUACUCCAAAAUACUCCAUUAGGCCUCUCGGAUAAGCUAAUUCAAUUAUUAUUUUCAAAUAUCGCAAAUUUUUUUUAUAACUAUUAAUUUGUCGGUUACUUGGCACUUUCUCUGGUCUUUGAUAAUUAAUCAUAGAUAGAUAGAUUGUGGCUCUAAGUCAGGAGGGAAAGAAAGGAGAAUCCAAAGUAUCUUUACCUUAGAUGAAUAUGAUCCUCCACAAUAUUUUUAUCUAAAUAUAUUAUGUUAGCUAUUCAACACAUAUCGGAGCUUUACAAAUGACCAUGAGAGAGAGGACAUCUCUAGCAGCCUACAGCAGACAGAGGAGUGGCUUUAUGAGGAUGGGGAUGAUGAAGCAGAAAGUGCUUAUAUUGCAAAAUUAGAUGAUCUUAAGAAGAUUAUUUUCACUUUUCUAAAUUCAUUAGUUUGUCUUCAUAUUUUCUCCCUCUUGCUUGACUCGCUCUUUGUUUUUAAUAGUUGGUGGAUCCAAUAGAGAAUCGUUAUAAAUAUGAAGUAGCAAGAGCACAAGCAAGAAGAGAUCUGCUCAACUCCAUUGUGGAUUAUAGGAAGUCUGUUGAUUCAAUCCCACCCAAGGAUCAAGAGGCGGUAUGAUAUGAAAUUGCUAAUGAUGACUAUUACUAAUCUCAUGUUGUUUUGAUGAUGUUUCCAAUGUUUUUAACUUUCUAUUAUUUUCAGAUCAUUAAUGAGUGCAAUAAAGCAGAGAAGUAUUUCACCAUAGAAUGGUAGUACCAUUAACUUCAUUUAUUAUUUUUUAAUCAUACCUUUAUUUAUUAUUUAUUUUAUCAAACUUUUAAUUAUUUCCUUACAAAAAGCCUUUCAUUCAUCAUUCUCAAUAGCUAAUCGUGAGAGUGUGGAGACUUUUAGUGGGAGAGUAGUUAGAUUUGGCGAGAUAAAAUAAAUUAUGCACAUGAUUUCGGGCGAGAGUCGAGACAAAAGAGAUGGUGACAUUGGAGAGUGUGGAGACUUUUAGUGGGAGAGUAGUUAGAUUUGGUGAGAAAAUGGGUGAGGCUGUCGGGUUAGAAUUGGAUUUAUUAACAGUACUCCAUCAGUUAAUUUAAUGCAAUACAUGAUGGGAUAUUUGAAUGAAAACAUCAUGCGGGAGACAUCAUUAAUUAAUUAGUAAUUACAUUAAGGUAUGCACCCCACCAUAAACUAUUUUAUAUGUUAGCAAUUUAUAUUAAAGGGAAUAUAAAUCAAAAGGUGCGACAUGUUAAGUUCAUGAUUGAUGAUCAUCUCUAUCGAGUAUUAGGUGCGACAUGUAUGCUUUCUUCUCAUUCUUUAAUUUUUAAGUGAAGUAGAAAAAGAGAUUGAAUUUGAAGAGGGUCCAUUUCCAACUACCUAAAAGUAUAUUGGCUUAACCUUACCUGCCAAAAUAUAUAAAAAUCAAAAGGUGAACAAUUUAAAUAAUUUAAUUAAAAAGACGAGAGAUGAGAGCUUACUUGCAAAAAUAUAUAAAAAUCAAAAGGUGAACAAUUUAAAUAAUUUAAUUAAGAAGACGAGAGAUGAGAGCGAGAGAGGUGGGUGCCAUGUAAUUCCGAAUUUGAACUAAUAGGCCCCACCAUAUUUAACAAAAGAUGAUCAUAACUCUCUCAUCUAAUAAGACAAAGCGGUUCCACCAUGAGACGAUAGUUGAAUGUGUACAACUUGAAACUAAUCAUGACUAGGACAGGUAAGAUAAAUAAGCCGUGUCCUGGACUAGUUAUCAAAACUUGAAGAAUUGUAUUUAUUAUCUUGACAUCAUAUUUAUAUUUAUAUGAGGUUUAUUAUGUUUAUUAUUUUAUUUAUAUACAUAUAUAUUAAUAUAUUUAUUUAUAUGGCACCCACCUCUUCGCUCUCAUCUCUCGUCUUCUUAAUUAAAUUAUUUAAAUUGUUCACCUUUUGAUUUUUAUAUAUUUUGGCAGGUAAGGUUAAGCCAAUAUACUUUUAGGUAGUUGGAAAUGGACCCUCUUCAAAUUCAAUCUUUUUUUCUACUUCACUUAAAAAUUAAAGAAUGAGGAGAAAGCAUACACGUCGUACCUAAUACUCGAUAGAGAUGAUCAUCAAUGAUGCACCUAACACGUUGCACCUUUUGAUUUAUAUUUCCUUUAAUAUAAAUUGCUAACAUAUAAAAUAGUUUAUGGUGAGGUGCAUACCUUGAUGUAAUUACUAAUUAAUUAAUGAUGUAAACUGUAAUGAAUUUUCUGUCUCUCCACCUUCUAGAUGAUUCUAAAUCCAAAUAAAGGUGAGAUUAAAUUAUUUAAUAGAGAUCAAUUGCAUGAUAAAAAUAUGUCUUCGUCUUUUCCUUCUUUGAGACAAAAAUAUGUCUUCGUCUUUCGAAGAUCGUGGUAAUUUCAACUCUAUGUCUUUUUGCUUUUCAACUCCUCCUCACCCAUUGAUGUUAAGCUAACCUGAUCAUCAUUGGGUUUCCAUCCUACAGUUUUACAGAUUCUUGCCAUUUUAACGGUCCAGAUUAAUUCUAUCAGUUCCUUUUUUUCACCGUAUAUAGCCUCCACAGAGCUUAGAGAGAGUGACUAGAGUCUCGAGAGUUUCUAUCGGUUUCGAAACGUGCAGCGUGAGGGUUUUUGGAUCGGUCGUGGCGGAGAUCUAAAAUCGAGGUAGGGUUCAUGGUCUAUAUAUUAUAUGAGAUUCGGUGCUCAAGCCCUCUAAUAAACAUAGACCCAGGUCUCCGAUGUGGUUCCUCAGCACUUUUUAUUAUUAUUUGCAGUCUAGAUCUGUAAUAGAAUUCUUAAGUUAGUAAAGGAAAUUUUUACCCAUUAUGCAUA